rnacentral:piRNA from 1 species
UGCAAGGCGAUUUUUCGCAGAAGAGAGC